rnacentral:rRNA from 1 species
UACGAAGGGGGCUAGCGUUGUUCGGAAUUACUGGGCGUAAAGGGCGUGUAGGCGGCCCGUUAAGUCAGGUGUGAAAUUCCUGGGCUCAACCCAGGACGUGCGCCUGAGACUGGCGGGCUUGAGUCCGGGAGAGGAUGGUGGAACUCCCAGUGUAGAGGUGAAAUACGUAGAUAUUGGGAGGAACACCGGUGGCGAAGGCGGCUCUCUGGACCGGUACUGACGCUGAGGCGCGAAAGCUAGGGGAGCAAACGGG